UGAUGGGUGCCCAAGGUAGCUCUUGGGUGAAACGGGAAGCUGGUUUAAGUCCAGCACGGCCCCCGCCACUGUGACUGGGACCUGCCAUUUGGCAGGACGGUCUCUGCAACGCCACUGGAGAAAUCUGGGAAGGCGCAGGGAUUGAACCGGAAGUCAGGAGACCGGCCCAUCG
rnacentral:ncRNA from 1 species